rnacentral:rRNA from 1 species
GAUUGCGACCAUACCAGCACUAAUGCACCGGAUCCCAUCAGAACUCCGCAGUUAAGCGUGCUUGGGCGAGAGUAGUACUAGGAUGGGUGACCCCCUGGGAAGUCCUCGUGUUGCAACCC